ensembl:snoRNA small nucleolar RNA, C/D box 65
UUCUGAUGAAAUAGAAACGGAAAUAGCUGGAAUUACCGGCAGAUUGUUCAGUGGUGAUUCUCUGUUUUCUGAAC